rnacentral:lncRNA from 1 species
AAAGGAUAUUUUGCUGUAUGAUUUGUCUGGAAGCUGACUGACAGAUUGUAGGGCUGGCUAUUUGCUCCGAGCUCAUCUCCCAGGCUCCCUCUUCAUCAAGAAAAAGAUGAAGGCAUCUCCGGAAGGUAGAAUGUGUUGGGGAUUGAAUCAGAGAGGAAUGCCAAUGGAAAAGCUGAAUGAAUGUUUAGAAACAUUGCUGUUUCCUGAAGUCUUUGUUGAAGUGCUGACCUAGUAUUGCCCCUUCAUGCUCCACUGUCUCAUUGGAAAUACAUGUUGGUGCUGUUUGCCAUAUUGCGGUGAGC